UACGGGGGGGGCAAGCGUUGUUCGGAAUUACUGGGCGUAAAGGGCUCGUAGGCGGCCUGCUUAGUCAGACGUGAAAUCCCCCGGCUCAACCUGGGAACUGCGUCUGAUACUGGCAGGCUCGAAUCCGGGAGAGGGAUGCAGAAUUCCAGGUGUAGCGGUGAAAUGCGUAGAUAUCUGGAGGAAUACCGGUGGCGAAGGCGGCAUCCUGGACCGGCAUUGACGCUGAGGAGCGAAAGCCAGGGGAGCAAACGGG
rnacentral:rRNA from 1 species